UUACGUUUCAUUUGCAAGCUUUUAAAAAUGACGCAAAAUAGACUCAACAAAAAGUGAAAUCCCUAAAACUAUAAAACGCAAAAUACUCACGUAAGCCCUCUCUCUCUCGUUCGAUUCUCUUAAGACGCUUCAGACGACAGUGAGAACUCACCUUAAAAUCCCAAAACCUGUGCCGUUCUAAGCCGCAUUCGCCGUCUUUGUGGAAAAUCGUCUGUUGGCCGUGUGAUUUUCUUCCCCGAGGAUCAAAUUUGGGGUUGGUCUGCACUUCACUGGAAGAAAUUGGAGGCCAUUGUUCUUUUCUUCCUGGUUUGAAUCUGAGCUCAUUUGCUUCCUCGUUCUUUCUUGUGAUUUCCUUUUUCUUGGGUUCAACUUCGAGACUGUUCGGACCCAAAACCAUGACCAGCAGCUCUGGAAUUGAAGAAUGAUUUUGAAAAGAAGUACAAUCAACUCAAUGAACAGGCUAACACACAUACUAUCAUUUUGAUGCAAACUUCUUAGAACAGAGCAACAAGGACUUUUAUGGAUUAUGAUUCGAUCAGUCAAGCAAUAGAUGGGCAAGGGUUAAUUGAGACCUCUAUUGUGAGCUAAUCAUGAGUAGUAAAAGCAUAAAAUCCGGGCUAUUAUACUUUCCCAGCUCAAUGUUUAGCUUGUGUACUUCUGAACUUGUGCUGCCAGACAGCGUUGAAACUGCGGGGUUCGAUAGUUCAGCGUUGCGAAGACACAUUUACUUCUAUAGAGUUAAGAAGAGCGUCACCAGGCAUUAUAAUGUUAAAGCUGUCUUUUUUUCUUUCCUUCUAUUUUCUCUUUUCUAUUUGAAACUAAUGUAUAAUUGAAAUUCUGACUUUGUUGUGUGGUGGAAUUGGAGUUAAUUACUUACUGUGUUCCAUUGGCCA